AUUUAACCCGACCAGUUGCACCAAAACAAGUUUAAACAGACCAGUUACCAAGAUCACUGGUUUCAGCAGGACAUGUUUUAUCUUUCUCCCUCCCUCUCUUUUUCUGUCUCCAUAUCUCUCCAUUCAUUCUCCAUCUCUUCACAGCCCUCUCGAAUUGAUGGGUGAAAUUCACCACUGCGCUCUCCAGAUUGGCUGGGACAGACUCUGGGACAUCCAGAUUGGUCGUCUGGCUGUGAGGGCUGUUAUGAUUGGUUUUCCUGCAGAGAGGUCAUCCCAGACAGACGUCUGACCGGUGGGCGGUGUGUGUGGCGGUGUGUGUGGCGGUGUGUGUGUGUAUUCUGACGCAUUGCUGCAGUGCCCUCCAUGCAAAUAGCUGUGCAACGCUAUUUCACCUCUUAGACACACAUAUGGAAGCAUUCAAGCAUGAAUGUAUAAGGGUGUGUGUGUGUAAACUGUAAUGACAUUAUGGAACAGUUGUAAUAUGUGUUCAGAUUAUUAUUACUGUUCUCCUCUGUUCAGACCCGGCAUAUUAGCACUCUGUCUCCAUGACAACCAGCAAAUCCUCCACCACCACCAGCUCCGCAACAAAGAUACCACAGCCCCCUUUACACACACACACACACACACACACACACUGAGAGAACCAGACCGCCAGUCUCUUUAGCAGGAAGUUAGUACAGAGGUGUGGAAGCAUCUAACAUUUGUUAACUAUCUGCUGGUCACCUCCACAAGCCAUCACCACAAGGAGAGCAGAGAGUGAGAGGUGAAACUGGGAGAGGGAAUGACAUAAAUAAUGUUUUGUGCAAGAAACAGAGGGACAGUGUUUCAUUUCUAAUAAUAGAACCACUGUGUAGUAGGGGAAAUGGAGAGGGAAGAGGAAAAGAGGGAGAAACGAGGUGUGGAAUAGGAGUGGCAAGAGAGGAGAAGAGAGGAGAGGAAGAAAAUAAGGGGAGGAAAGUGCCUCCCAGUAACAGCUAGUCCUAAAGAAGUGUGCAGGGUUUUGAUCCAGCCCUGUCCCAACAUCUGGUUCAAUCAUCUCGUCAGAUCGCCCCUGGCUCAAUCAUCUGGUCAGCUCACCCCUGGUUCGGUCAUCUGGUCCGCUCACCCCUGGUUC
ensembl:lncRNA